UACGUAGGCAGCAAGCGUUGUUCGGAGUUACUGGGCGUAAAGGGUGUGUAGGCGGUUCUUUAAGUUUGGUGUGAAAUCUCCCGGCUCAACCGGGAGGGUGCGCCGAAAACUGAAGGGCUAGAGUGCGGGAGAGGAGAGUGGAAUUCCUGGUGUAGCGGUGAAAUGCGUAGAUAUCAGGAGGAACACCGGUGGUGUAAACGGCUCUCUGGACCGUAACUGACGCUGAGACACGAAAGCGUGGGUAGCAAACAGG
rnacentral:rRNA from 1 species